CCGUCUCUCACCAGACGAAGUCAACGUGGGCGGCAUCGUGGCGGCGGUGGUGGUGCUGCUGAUGGUGCUGGCGCUCAUCGCCUUCGGGAUCUGGUUCGCCUACAGCCGGGGCUUCUUCAGCAAGAGAAAAGACACCACCAGCAAGAAGGUCAUUUACAGCCAGCCCUCGCACCGCAGCGAGGUGAGGACGCCGUGCCCCGGCGGGGGGCACAGAGCGUGAUGGGAGCGCGGUGCCAUCCCCCGGGGGGGG